AUAUUUUAAUGUAUUAGCAUGAAAGAUUUUGAUUCUUUAAGAUUUAAUUAAAAAUUAAAAAAUAUAA
rnacentral:tRNA from 1 species